rnacentral:rRNA from 1 species
AACGAACGCUGGCGGCAUGCCUAACACAUGCAAGUCGAACGAGACCUUCGGGUCUAGUGGCGCACGGGUGCGUAACGCGUGGGAACCUGCCCUUAGGUUCGGAAUAACUCCCCGAAAGGGGUGCUAAUACCGGAUAAUGUCUUCGGACCAAAGAUUUAUCGCCUUUGGAUGGGCCCGCGUUGGAUUAGCUAGUUGGUAGGGUAAAAGCCUACCAAGGCGACGAUCCAUAGCUGGUCUGAGAGGAUGAUCAGCCACACUGGGACUGAGACACGGCCCAGACUCCUACGGGAGGCAGCAGUGGGGAAUAUUGGACAAGGGGCGAAAGCCUGAUCCAGCAAUGCCGCGUGAGUGAUGAAGGCCUUAGGGUUGUAAAGCUCUUAUACCCGGGAUGAUAAUGACAGUACCGGGAGAAUAAGCUCCGGCUAACUCCGUG